GUUACAAACUUUCUUUGGCUACAGGCCACUACUGUUGCUAACAUGCAACUCUGUUCUAUGUAAACGGGAAUUGCACUUUAGCAAUGGUGAUGGCCUGGAAGACAUUAAAAAGGUAUUUUC
rnacentral:pre_miRNA from 15 species